GACAGAGGGUGCAAACGUUGCUCGGAAUUACUGGGCGUAAAGCGCGUGUAGGCUGUCCUUCAAGUCGGACGUGAAAUCCCUGAGCUCAACUCAGGAACUGCAUCCGAAACUGAAGGCCUAGAGUAGUGGAGAGGGAAGCAGAAUUCCUGGUGUAGAGGUGAAAUGCGUAGAUAUCAAGAGGAACACCUGAGGUGAAGACGGGUUGCUGGGCCAACACUGACGCUGAAGCGCGAAAGCCAGGGGAGCAAACGGG
rnacentral:rRNA from 1 species